AUUGCCUCAGUAACGGCGAGUGAAGCGGCAACAGCUCAAAUUUGAAAUCUGGCCCCAGGCCCGAGUUGUAAUUUGCAGAGGAUGCUUUUGGCGCGGUGCCUUCCGAGUUCCCUGGAACGGGACGCCAUAGAGGGUGAGAGCCCCGUCUGGUUGGAAACCAAGCCUUUGUAAAGCUCCUUCGACGAGUCGAGUAGUUUGGGAAUGCUGCUCAAAAUGGGAGGUAUAUGUCUUCUAAAGCUAAAUACCGGCCAGAGACCGAUAGCGCACAAGUAGAGUGAUCGAAAGAUGAAAAGCACUUUGGAAAGAGAGUUAAACAGCACGUGAAAUUGUUAAAAGGGAAGCGUUUAUGACCAGACUUGGGCCGGUUAAUCAUCCAGCGUUCUCGCUGGUGCACUUUGCCGGUCCAGGCCAGCAUCAGUUCGCCGCGGGGGAUAAAGGCGUCGGGAAUGUGGCUCCUCGGAGUGUUAUAGCCCUUCGCGCAAUACCCUGGGGCGGACUGAGGUUCGCGCUCUGCAAGGAUGCUGGCGUAAUGGUCAUCAACGACCCGUCUUGAAACACGGACCAAGGAGUCGUCUUCGUAUGCGAGUGUUCGGGUGUCAAACCCCUACGCGUAAUGAAAGUGAACGCAGGUGAGAGCUUCGGCGCAUCAUCGACCGAUCCUGAUGUUCUCGGAUGGAUUUGAGUAAGAGCAUACGGGGCCGGACCCGAAAGAAGGUGAACUAUGCCUGUAUAGGGUGAAGCCAGAGGAAACUCUGGUGGAGGCUCGCAGCGGUUCUGACGUGCAAAUCGAUCGUCAAAUAUGGGCAUGGGGGCGAAAGACUAAU
rnacentral:rRNA from 1 species